AAAAUUGCCAGUGCAGACCAACUUCUGUGAAAAUGGAUUUAAAAUGGAUUUUAGUCUUCGCGACACUGCUGAUCUGCAUGGCUUUCUCCAAUGCAGUGCCAGUAGAAAAUUUGGACGAUAAGGAUAAUGAAGACUCGUUGGUGAUGAAACGAAAUGCUUUUGCUCAAGUUGAGGAGCCGCCAUUUAUACGGAAAGAGGCGUAUAAGGUCGGUUCAUAAUUCAUGAUUCUGUUUAUGUACAAGAUUAAUCAAAUAACGAUAUAAUAAAUUUAUGAUGGUUCAUUA